rnacentral:rRNA from 1 species
ACGGGGGAUGCAAGUGUUAUCCGGAAUCACUGGGCGUAAAGCGUCUGUAGGUGGUCAAAUAAGUCAACUGUUAAAUCUUGAGGCUCAACCUCAAAAUCGCAGUCGAAACUAUUAGACUAGAGUAUAGUAGGGGUAAAGGGAAUUUCCAGUGGAGCGGUGAAAUGCGUAGAUAUUGGAAAGAACACCGAUGGCGAAGGCAGCUUACCAAGCUGUAACUGACACUGAGGCACGAAAGUGUGGGGAUCAAACAGGA